rnacentral:sRNA from 1 species
GGUCCCUGCAGCGGGCGAAAGGAGCCCGGGCCUGGAGGUCUGUGUACCGGUCGCCUGGUCCCGGCACCAGCGCCGCCCAGUGUGGUUUCCCAUAAGGAAGCUCUUCUUCCUGCUUGGCUUCCACCUUUAACCCUUCCACCUGGGAGCGUCCUCUAACACAUUCAGACUACAAGUCCAGACCCAGGAGAGCAAGGCCCAGAAAGAGGUCAAAAUGGGGUUUAUAUUUUCGAAAUCUAUGAAUGAAAGCAUGAAAAAUCAAAAGGAGUUCAUGCUUAUGAAUGCUCGACUUCAGCUGGAAAGGCAGCUCAUCAUGCAGAGUGAAAUGAGGGAAAGACAAAUGGCCAUGCAGAUUGCGUGGUCUCGGGAAUUCCUCAAAUAUUUUGGAACUUUUUUUGGCCUUGCAGCCAUCUCUUUAACAGCUGG